UGAAAUUAUACUUGUAAAAACAAAAAGAAUUGUGGAGAAACCUGACAGACAUCAGAUAUCAUUUUAACCAAGUGACCAAAGUUAAAGUUCUCAGUAUAGCAUGUUGAUAUCAUAGAAUACCUGUAUUAUAAGAAGGAUGCUUCACUUCUAUUCACUCGUAAAACUCAUAAUUCCAGUCUAAUUAUGAGAAAACAUCAGACAAGAUCAAAUUCAGUAACAUGACACAAAAUGUCUCAUCAUUGCUUUUCAAAUGUUAUGAAUGUGAUGAAAAACAAGGAAAGACUGAAAAAUUGUCAUAGCCUAGAGGAGACUGUGGAGACAUACAUGGUAACUACAUGUGGUUUAGUGUCCUGGAUCAGAUUCAUUAAAUUAUUGUUUAUAUUUGAAGUGGGGUGAAAUUAGUUAUGUUUGUAAAAGGUCAUUAUAUUUUGGUAAUGCAUACUAAAGUAUUCGUGGAUGAGAUGAUGUGAUAUCUGAGAUUCUCUUUGAAAUGAUCUAAUGGAGGAAAAAGUGGGUAACAAGAUAAAUGGAAAAUAAAUUAACUUUGGGUGAUGAGUACAUGGGAAUUCAUAUUACUAUGCGUUCCACUUUUGCAUACGUUUAAAAUUUUCCAUAAAAAAGUUUCUAAAAAGUAAAAAAAAAAGAAAGUAAAAAAUCCCAAAAUGUAUUAUAAUUAGCUUUUUAUGCUCAUCACACGCAAGGCUUGUGUCUUUUAAAAAUCAAAUCUGAAGAGUGUCAAAAUGCAUAAAUCAUAGAGAGGUGAAUGAACUCUCAAAAAUAAUCUGCGCAAGAUAUGAUCAGGGCUGAAUAACUGGGAGAACAUUAAGGCAAGUGCCUGAAUUAACAGACCUCCUAAACUGUAAUGCUUUUGUUGUUCUUUCCUUGAAGUUCUCUGACCUGGUGAUAUCUAAAACUCCUAUCUGUGUGAGAAUUUUAAAAAGUAGAAUGUGGUCAGAGCAGGCUUUUGUUCCUACUCAAUGUUAAAAUCUAUAGUUGCCCGGACUCUUUCCGGUUUCACUUUAUUUACUGGAGGCUUUGUUUGUGGCCUUCUGACUUACAGGAUAGGUUACUGCAAAAUACUUCAUUUCCUACUUGUCUGGAAGCACAAACUGAGUCUUUAACUCAGAACAUAAAAUUCUUUGCUAAAGGAUCUCUGUCAGGGAAGCAUUCAUUCUUCCAGGCUUUGUAAUUUGCAUUGAUUACUGAGCUGCUUUUCAGUUCAUCAUUAGAUGUUGGCUAUAAUCUAUAAAGCUUUACAUAGUUUUGUUCUGAUUAGAGAAGUCUGGCACUGGUUGUCAAUUUUAUUAAUGACAGAUUAAUCUGUAUUACAAAAAUAAAAUUUUAAAAAGAGUUUUGAAGCUGAAAUAUCAGGAGCAAGUUCUUAUUAAUGUCACAUACUCUACAAAUCUACCAUUUGAAAGGUGAAUUCAUUGUACGGUUGUGAACUUGAGCAAAACAAAUAUCUCAAGUCAGAAAGUUGUAAAGGAGUUAAUAGUAAAACCAGUAAUAAGAUCCUUGUCUUAAAUGUCUGCCCUUCAGAAUUUUUCACUUUCUUAAUGACCUGCCUUCCAAUUUCUACCCAAUACUGAGCCCCACUGCAUAGUGACAGAGUUAAUCAUUUGUUCAUGAGUCAGAUAUGAAGAGGAACAGUAUUCAUGUUAAAGACAACUGGUCCCACUUCCAGGUACAUCUUUGGGCCAAGAUAAUGUAGUCGCCAACAGUGAGUUGGCGACUGUAUUUUUUGAGUUCUGGCGCAAAGUAAGAUCCAUCUGUUUUGCCCAGCCGUUUGCUUGAGUGCCCCAGAAUGGUCGUGUUAUUAGUCUUAUUUGUGGCCUCUUUGAAGUUAUGUAUAAUAUAAAUAAACUUCAGUUCUCCUUGUGAUGAAUGCAGCAUAGGAUUUAAAAGUGAUGGUGCUGAUAGUGACUGCCUGAAGUUACAUUUAGAGACUGAAAUCACUGCACCUUAAAAAACAAAAGAUUGAGCUACACUGUGUUCCUAAAAAGCAGUACUGACUUUCAACUGGAAUUAGAAAAGAUCCAGAAUAAACAAGGCAAUAUUGAACAAAAACAGCAAUGCUGGAGGUGCCACUAUACCAGCUUGGAAACUAUAUUGUACAGCCAUAGCAAGAAAAACAUGAUACCAGCACAAAAACAGAAAUGUAGACCAAUGUAAUAGAAGACACAGAAACAAACCCAAGUAUCUCUAGCCUACUGACUUUUGACAAGGGGAACAAAAAAUAUAAGUUGAAAAAAAAACAAUAUCUUUAACAAAUGGUGCUGGGAUAACUGGGAAUUCAACAUGCAGAAAAUUGAAACUAGAUCCAAAUCUCUCACCCUGUACCAAAGUAAAAUUAAAAUGGAUCAAAUUCCUAGAGAAAAAACAAACAAAAACACUGUAGCUGCUGGAUGACAAAGAUAGAUUUUCUGUUCGUGUUGUCAGACCAGACAUCAGCGUCCUAGUCUUUUACUUAAUUGACUUUACAUUCUUUUUCCUGAAUAAAAUAAGAAAUGCUCAUUUAUACUAUAUCCUUUCUGUUAUGAAAUGAUGUUUAGAAGUUUCACGUUUCAGUUGUGUUUUAUAUUUCAUACCCUACAGUUGACUGCAGUGAUAAGCCUACCUGACAGUCACCUCAGUUUGUCUUCUUGUCAUUCCAUGAGUUGUGCAUAAAGGGAAUAGGACACAUGGUACAACAGAUAUUAUGUGAAGAGGCAAAAGAUUUGAGAAUUACUAUGAACAGAAUCUACUUUCAUUGCAAUUUCUCAACAUCUGUAAGACCACAUUAUUCUUUAGAACUCAGGACUACUUGACAUAAAGGUUUCUGUCCUUCCUCCCCACCAACAUUUUUUAAAAUUUAUUUUCAGAAGAGAUACUUUCAUUUUUAUUAAAUCAGCUUCUGGGAAUGCAAAUGAAAUCUCUCAUAACACUUGGCCUUUGAGGCAGAACUAAAAUGAUAAAAUUUAGGCCUAGUGAAUUGUACUGUUAUCGUGUUGAAUAACAUUUAAGGACAUCAAAGAAAUUUAUAAAAACAUUUUACAUUUGUUAAGAUUACAAAAUUAAGGUGAGAGGGAUUUAAGGGCAGAACAUCAUCAAACAUUAUAGCUAGAAAGGAUAUAGGAAAUGAAAGUCCAUCACCUCAUUUUGAAAUAAAUAAAUUGAGGCCCAGGGUAGGGCAUGCAGGUUACACAAACCAUACUGACCACCAAUACAGAUCAUCCCUAGACAUUUAUUCCUCAGAAUAGACCCUAAUAUACAUGCUUAGCCUUCAAUUUUUUCUCUAUACUCAUUGUAUGAGCAGUAUUUCCUGAGGCGCAAAUUGCCUUACAUUAAUUUUUUAAGACUUACUAAACUAUAGUCUCCUCUACCAGGGUGCUCAAACUUUAUUCAUAAAGGAGUAGUCUGAAAACAUUGAUUGUUAUCAAAAGUUUUUAUUUCAUUAUUCCCAUAUACUGUACUUUUAUAUUGGAUCUUUGGUUCAAUGAGUCAUAGAGAGGCAAAUUUAUUCAUUGACUUGAUAUUCUUUAUGAUGAUUUACAAAGUGGACAGAAGACCAUUAAAAACUUCAGUAGUUUAAUUGGGCUUACAGGCAUGAUGAAACCAGUAAUCCGAACAGAGCCAUUGUGAUGUGGCAUUCAGGCUUCCUAAGAGUGUGCAUCAAGCAUGGUGUCAGAAUGUCACUAUUGUGAGGGGUUAUUUCCAUCAGAGGCAAGUUCUUGGAGUGUGAAAAUAAGGAAAUAAACUUUAAUAAUUUAAAAUGGAUUACUUGCCCUGAUAAUUUAUUUUGCCUUUCCUAUAUUGGAUUCUGUCAUAAAACAACCCAAAGUGGCCAGUAUAAAUUCUUUUCUGUUAUUUUACCCAUAGCAAAGUCCUGGAUAUGUCUUAAUUUGGUCCUUAAAUUUACUUUAUCCCACCAUAUCUUCUCUCUCUCCCCCAUGGAGAAGCUUAAAUCAUUGUAUACAAAAAUGAUAAUGUCCAAAGUCUUUGUACUCCAAACACAAAGACUGUUCCAUGGAAGCUUUGGUAUACAGAGAAGAGUGAAUUAGGGUAUCAGAAUGUUGCAGCAGCAUCCUAGGUGUAGGUAUUGAACAGGGAUCUCUUUAUCAACUUCUUUCUUUUCUCCAUAAUAAUUAAUGAAUAUUUCUUGCAUGCCUUCUAUACACAAAACAUGUAACUGGAAACAUAAAUAACAUCCAUUUCCUGUCACUAAGGAGUUUGCAAUCUAUUUGGAAAACAGAUGCAUCUUUCUUAUAGACAAAAUAUUCUCUGGGUACAGCAGAGGAAGUAAGUGGUUCUGGGCCAUCAAGGAGUAAUAGAUUAGCAAGGCGCUAACAUAGAAGGAGUAAUAAGUGAAAUCCAAGGGAACAAUGAGUAGUAAUGGUGUGAUUUUGCCUGUAUGAUGGUUGUUGGGCUAGAGAUUAAAGAGAUAUAAGUGAAAGAGAACCAGAAUGUAGGAGAGAAUCAGUUUUCCAAAAGUGUGGGUGGCAAAACAGUAGCAGGCCAAGAAGCCAGUUCACAUUAUCACAUAAGAUGGGAACAAAGUAAAACAAAUACUAAAAGAAAACAGUGUCUCAGAUAUUCUGAAGACACUGGAUUAAAAAAUAAAUAUAUGUCUGGGAAUUAUGCCCCCAAAGUAUGAAAGAAACUUCAAAGGCAAUACUAAAUAUUAAACUCAUAAUUCUAACUAAGGGAUAAAGUUAUUUUCUUCUUUUAAUAUAUGAAAAAGUGAAGGCAUAAAAGCAGUUUACCUCAGAUCAUAUGAGAGGUAAGUGCUAGAGACAGAAUGUGAACGUAUCUGUCAAAGUCCACAUUCAUUCUUUCCCAUGACUUGACUGCUUCCCAGAGCUAGGUAUCUUCAAUUAUUUCACUAUUGAUAACUCACAAAGUUAUAUUUCUACUUCUAAUAUCUCUCCAAACUCCAGUCCUAUAUUUCCAACAUCUAUGUUUACAUCUUCAAAUAGAAGUUCCACUGAUUUCUAAGAGUCAGGAUAUUAAAACUGAAUUUAUCCUCCUAGUUAAAAAUCAUUCUCCUUUUGACUAUCCUAAUUUUUCUUACCUCGCUUUCUCAAGGGCAUCUUGAGUCAAAAUAUAUUAUUCUUGCUUCUUCCCUGUCGUAAAUGUCAAUAAAUUGCCAGAUGUUUUUCAUUCUCCUUCAUUGACACAUUUCUAGUCAGGCUUUCAUCUUCUCUGCAAAAAAAACUCUGAAUUGGGAGAAACAGGGUAGGGAAAUCAGCUCAUCCUAAAACUGCUGCCCCGUUAACUUUCCUGAACGAGAAGCACUGAGAUUAUACCACCUUAGUUCAAACAAAACUUUCAGGUAAAAACAAAACAAAACAAAACAAAACAAAAAACUUUCAGGUAAUUCUGUAUUGACUACCAAACAAUUUCUAACCAAUAUCAUGCAAUUUUAAAAACAAACUUUAAUCCCAUUUCUGACUUAUCACCUACCCACAUUUAUAUACUAUGUACUCAGGGCAAAUUUGAACACUCACCUUUAUUCCUAUUUUUUCUACCAUUUGAAAUGUCCAUCAUUAGGUUGUUUUUUUUUUUUUCAUCCUAUCAGGUCUAUUUCAACAGCUCUUAAUUCCACAAAUCUUUUUCUUCUUGACCUUGCCACAAAUAAUCCACUAAAGUACCCUACUAAGUUCACUUUGUAUAUGUAGUGGCCUUGCUAAUGGCUUCACUUUGAACUAGCUUCCAAAACUGUUAUUUUAAGCUUAAAAAGUUAUGGUAAUCUGUUAUAGAAGUCCCAAUAAACUAAUACAUUUCCUAUUUAUACUUUUUUUGAGAUAUGAAUUACCUUCUAUAUUUUAUAGCACUAUUUAUGUGUGCUCCUUAUCCCCUAACAGGAAAAUAAAUUUUUAAAGGUAGAGUCCAUAUUUAAUAAACAUUUCUGAGUUCUGAAUAAUCUACCACAGUAGAAUCAGUAAUUACUUAUUCAACUAUUUUUUUCUGGGAGUGUAACUGUAUUUUAUAUAUGUUUUUAUCAAAACAUUUAUUGGGAUGUUUUAGAUAAACAUAAUGAUAAUACUCAUCAUAGGGAAUUUGCACCUAUACAUGAUAUAUACUGUCUCUUCUUUUUUUUCAAUUCCACAACUAGGAAUACAGAAAUGAUUCAUUAGGUCCUUAUGAAAUGUAUAGUCUCUUAAGGAAAUCAGAUAUUAAGUAAGGCCACAAAUAAUUUUAAAAAUUUAAAAUUGUGUCUGGUCAGUGGGCUUUGUAUGCAAAAAUACCAGUGGGUGGGAGAAUUUAUUAUAAUGUCCAUUAGGUAAUCAGAGCAGAUUCUCCAAUAAAGUAUCAUUUGAGUUGACAAUUGAAGGACAGGAAGAAUCAACCAGGUGAAGAAUUUGGGAUGGGGACUGGAGUUGAGAAAGUUCCAGAAAGAAUAGCACACACAAUGUAUUUAAGUACAAACCCUUAAAUAAAACUUGUAUGUAUUCAUGAAACCCAAAGGAUUCCAGAGUGGCUAGGGCAAAAUGAGAAGAAAGGCAGAAUAGAGUCAAGGAGAGAAAAGUGCCAGGACAAGAAAUUUAAAUUUUCUCCUCAAUACACUGGGGAAGCACACAGUAAACACACUCACAAAAAAACCAAACCAAAACAAAAAACAUUAAUUGAAGCUUAAGAAUAGAACAAGAUUAACAGGCUUGGUGGGACAUGCCUGUAAUCUCAGCUUUCAGGAGGCUGAGACAGGAGGAUCCCUGGGAGUUUGAGGCCAGCCUGGGCUACAUGAUGAGUUCAAGGCCAGCCUAAACUACAUAACAAAAUCCUAUCUCAAAAGAAAAAAAAUAAUAGAGCAAAAUCAAAAUAAUUCAAAGGUAAAUAGUAGGCACAUGCUCAUAGUAUCUAUAUAUUAUUGUAUUUUGAAUCCUCACUGAAGUUUGAAGACAGUUGAAGUCUGAAGAGAGCUUGAACUUUUGAAAUUGAAGUUGAAUGGUUCAGAACAUAUUUCCGAUCUGCAUAAACAGAGUAGAUCUCUUGACAACCUUCUAAGAUCAGGUCCAGUUAACUUUAUUUCCUUUCUGG
ensembl:lncRNA